GGACUCUUUUAACUUCAGAUAAGAAGCCACACACAAAAGAGGAAUUUAUUGUCUUAACUUGGAAAUACUAGGGUGGAGCUGAUUCCAGAAGGACUAGAUUCCGGAAUUUAGGGGUAAAAGGCAGCAGCAGCUGUGUGUUCUCGAAGCAGGCACGAGACUGGCUUCUGGUGCGGAGAUGUAGAAGCAGAACAGAAAAGCCCAGUGGGAAGCAUGGUCUUUACUCCAGAUCUAUCCAAGGAGCUUCACCAUCCAGAAUUACCCAAGUUCACCCCCUUCUUACUUUGGUCUGAGGAUUCCUCACAGGAGAAUAAAAUCAGCAUUAA